CAAGAAAGAAUGCAAGAACUGCUAACUCAUGCCUCCAUGAAUAAACUCAUGGCUUUCUUA
rnacentral:tRNA from 1 species